rnacentral:lncRNA from 1 species
GUCCCUUUUCUCUAAAAUAUAAGCAAAACAUGGGAGGAAAAAUGGAGUUGGAAGCGAGGUUUGAUAUUCUAGUAACUGAACCUUGAUUUGUGAAUCGUCUGUCAUGUCUUUUAUCUUCAAAUGAUUCAAUGUCUUUUUUAAAAUGCUAAACAUUGUGUUGUAAAUACCUUAGAAUUUCCUAAUGGAUAGCAUAUCCCAGACCGUAAAGAUUUGAGUUGUUGGAAGGCAGGCUAAACAAGUUAGUGACCCAUUUGUGGUAUUUACAUACAUAGUAUACAUACCAUGCAAGUAUACUUAACUGAAGAUUCAGUCUAUCUACAAUACGCUGUAUAUCCAAAAAUCUUUUUCAGAAAACGAACGAAAUGCAAUCCUUAUUAUUACAUACGACACCACAUCAGACUUUUUGUCACCAUGCAACAACCAUCUCUCAUCUCUCCAUACUCGGUACGGUGUGGGCCCUUUGUGUAGAUAUCCCGGCCCUCCCACUGACGAAUUUUUAAAAAAGGCUUUGUUACAUAAACUAAAACAAGUUUGAUAAUUUUAAAAGCUUACAAAAAGUUUACAAAUAUAUAAAAUAAACUAUAAACAGUAUAGUUAUUUUUGCCAAAACGAUUAACAAUUCGUCAUAAUAAAUGUUAUAAGUAAAUCCUGACUUUCAGGUUCUCCUUGUUUGAAAUCAUUUCAAGCUAUCUUCAUUGCUGAAAAAAAAAAGCCAGAAGACAUUCAAAUUAAUACAAUUUCAGUAUAACAUAUUUUUCGAUUAGGCAGGCUUAGCUAUAUCGAAGGCUGUAUAACUAUGUCUAUGGCGUCCAUUUUAAAACAGCAUCGUCACAAAAUUGUAUAUUAAUUGGCAGGUUUCUCAACCGCCAGAUACAUUUAAAAAGGUUGCUAACUGUAUAAACUACAAAAUAAAGCUAAAACAAAGUAAUUUUAAGAUGUACGCCAGAUUGAUUUUAGGUUUUAAACACUUCCAAUGGAAAAUAUACGGCACGAAGAUAAACAUUGCCUUCUUAAUACUAAACAAUAUACCAGACUUUUGAGCAAAUAAUGAUGAAGCCGUUGAAUCGAAACGUUUACCAUGGCCACAAAAUUUCUUGACCCAUUCAUGUUUGUAUGAAAUGAGAAUGGCCUUUUCACAGGAAUUUCUCUCCCCCNNNNNNNNNNNNNNNNNNNNNNNNNCCCCCCCCCCCAAGAGAUUCACCCGCUUUCAAAAGGGUAUGACACGUUGUACAUACUAAGACCAUCUAUUUGGUUUAUAUUUUGAAAUUCGAUCAAUCCCAUUAUGUUUGUCAAUACAAUGAGAAUGUGUUUCAGUGUUUACAACAUAGCCAUAGGAAAAUAUUUAUUAUAUAGUAGAGAGUGCAAGAUACUGAAAAAUACACAGUAAGAUAUUUUCCAGAGGGUCCUGAAGGGGGGGUCCCAAUCCCAUUUCCCACCUGAAAUUUUGGAAAAAUCCCAGUCCC